rnacentral:tRNA from 1 species
GGCCAGGUAGCUCAGUCGGCAGAGCGUCCGCCUGAAAAGCGGAAGGUCGGCGGUUCGAUCCCGCCCCUGGCCA